UUUUAAAGUUUUUUAGUUUCA
ensembl:piRNA 21ur-11879 ncRNA